UACGUAGGGGGCAAGCGUUGUCCGGAAGCAUUGGGCGUAAAGCGCGUGUAGGCGGUCCGGCAAGUCCGCUGUGAAAGUCGGGGGCUUAACCCUCGGAUGCCGGUGGAUACUGUCGGGCUUGAGUACGGAAGAGGCGAGUGGAAUUCCUGGUGUAGCGGUGAAAUGCGCAGAUAUCAGGAGGAACACCAAUUGCGAAGGCAGCUCGCUGGGACGUUACUGACGCUGAGGAGCGAAAGCGUGGGGAGCGAACAGG
rnacentral:rRNA from 1 species